rnacentral:lncRNA from 1 species
CCUCAUGAACCCUAAUGAGCGCCGCCCUAAAAUCCACCAGACACCUCCCUUCUUAUCCUCUUUCCAUUUCCAAGCUUAAAUUCUCACAAAACCCAGUCAAUCCCUUCAAAUUUUAAAUCUGAAAAUCCGCCAAAACCUUAAAAUCAUUCAAACUCGUUCAAAUGCAUACCAUACCUUUUCCUGACCUCCCUCACCCCUAAUCCCUAACCAAGAUCCCUCGAAUCCAAGUGGAAUUGAGCGAAUUUCAAAUCUGAGGUUCAUGAAUGUUGGGUCUGUUUUGAGGCUG